UCCCAGGUGGCUCACAUGGUAAAGAAUCUGCCUGCAAUGCAGGAGACCCGGGUUCGAUCCUUGGGUUGGGAA
rfam:TPA: Bos taurus chromosome 16, whole genome shotgun sequence.